UACGAGGGGGGCAAGCGUUGUUCGGAAUUAUUGGGCGUAAAGGGUGCGUAGGCGGUUUGGUAAGUCUUAUGUGAAGUCUACAGGCUCAACUUGUAGUCUGCAUGAGAAACUGCCGGGCUUGAGUAUGGGAGAGGUGAGUGGAAUUCCUGGUGUAGCGGUGAAAUGCGUAGAUAUCAGGAGGAACACCUGUGGCGAAAGCGGCUCACUGGACCAUAACUGACGCUGAUGCACGAAAGCUAGGGGAGCAAACAGG
rnacentral:rRNA from 1 species